GGCAAAGGGUCAACUUGCAGAAAUACCUCCAACUACGCCAGACUGGGAGUUCCCUUAUAGAACAAUUGUGGAAGAUGACAAAGAUGUUUCAAAGAAAGGCAAAAAGUCAACAAAAACAAAAGGCAAAGGAGAAGAUAUGAAACUGGCUUCUAUUAGCGGAACUGACAGACCAGGAAAAGCAGGUGAAAUACUUCCAGGAAAGAGUCAGGACCUUGCUGAAACAAAACCUAAGAGAAAAGCGAGUCUGAUACAAGAUAAAGAGCCUAUUACUCCAACUGAGAAAAGGGAAGAGACCAAGAAAACAAAAGCUAAAACAGAGGCAGUGGAUUCCAAAGGUGUGCCAAAAACUAAGGACUCUGGGGAAAUGAAAAAGCAACGAAAAGGGUCUUAAAAGAAUUCCUGAAAACCUUUGAAGAAUACCUUCAAAAUUCCAUGCGGCGUGAAAUAAAACCAAAACAGGAUGCCGGGUCUUGCUGCUGAAUAAAUAAGAUGGUUUGAGCUCCAGCAUAUUCUGUAGUCUUAUUAGGCAUU